rnacentral:rRNA from 1 species
CAAUAGCGUAUAUUAAAGUUGUUGCGGUUAAAAGCUCGUAGUUGGAUUUCUUCUCUUAUCAGCCGGUCCUCACUUCGUGAGAGUAUCUGGUCAGAUUUGAGAAUCCUCUUGAGGAACGUCGCUGCGCUUGAUUGCGUGGCACGGUAUUCAAGACUUUUACUUUGAGGAAAUUGGAGUGUUCACGGCAGGCAUUCGCCUUGUACACAUUAGCAUGGAAUAAUAAUAUAGGAUCACGACCCUAUUUUGUUGGUUUCUAGAGUUGUGAUAAUGAUUAAUAGGGACAAUUGGGGGCGAUUUGUAUUAACAACGGUCAGAGGUGGAAUUCUUUGGAUUGUGUUACGUACAAACUACUAGCGAAGACAUUUGUCCAACGGAUGUUUUCUAUUGAUCAAGAACGAAAGUAAGGGG